UAAUCUAAUUUCACAGCCUAUAAUCUAAUUUCCUCUCAUUAAAAUAUUCCAGUUUGCCCCAGUCUAGCACAGUGGCCUGCUCUGGACCUGCUCCAACUGUUUGAUGCCCUUCUUGUGUCAGGAGCACCAGAACUGGAUGCAGUGCUACAGGUUGUCAAGGUUCUCCAGACCCAGCACAUGUACAGUUUUAUGUUCCCAUGUGAGGAAUUCUCAAUGUAAUUUGAUGCUCACCUUCAAUCCAGUCUCCUCCAUUGAGCCAGCAGGCAGGACCACUAAGUGGAGAAGCCAUGCUGCAAAUGAUCAAGACAUUGAAGACACAUGAAUAAAACAUGUAGAAGGAGAGGCAAGGAGAACAAAGCACUGGGAACAAAGAAUUAAACACUG